AGAAAGAGGGAACCAGGCCGGAUGCCCGCAGUCCGGGGCGUUGGGGAGGGCGCGGCUGGACCUGCGGGGCUACAAGAAGGCAGCCGGACCCCCGCACCGCAGGCCCGGACCUGACAGGACCGCGACCCCCACGCCUCCGCCCCCGCCCCCUCCCAUCUUGCGGCUGCCUCCGAGGAGGGAUGGGGGAGAGGGCGCAGUCUUCCCGAGCGUGUGAGCCGCGCCUACUGGGUUUCAUCAUGUUGUCCAGGCUGGUCUUGAACUCCUGGGCUCAAGCAAUCAGCCCACCUCUGCCUCCCAAAGCGUUGAGAUUACAAGCGUGAGCCACCAUUCCUGGACCCUCGUAGUUUUUCUGGAGCCUCGUGAUUUGAUAUGAUCUUCCUGCCGCUGAUUCCUCACAGUGUUGGCUUGCCACACCUCCAGGGGCACUGAUCACAUUCUACCUGGCAUUAUUUCAUCUGAGUCCCUGUCCUAGCCCUUCUGCCCAUUAGACUGUAACCUUGUUUAGGGAAAGACCUGUGUCUUACUCAUCUGUGAUUUUGUUGUUGUUGUUGUUUUGAGACAGGGUCUUGCCCUGUUGCCCAGGCUGGAGAGCAGUGGUGCAAUCUUGGCUCACUGCAGCCUCAACCUGUUGGGGUCAAGCCAUCCUCCCACCUCAGCUUUCCAAGUAGCUGAGACUACAGGCCUGUGCCACCACACCCAGCUAGUUUUUUGUAUUUUUAGUAGAGAUGGGGUUUUGCCAUGUUGCCCAGGCUUCUCUUGAACUCCUGAGCUCAAGGGAUCUGCCUGCCUCGGCCUCCCAAAGUGCUGGGAUUACAGGCGUGAGCCACUGUGCCUGACCCACUCACCUGUCAUUGUAGUACUUAAGAUGCCUUGUUCAUUUAUUGUGCCUGUGCAAUAAAUACACCUUGAUUUGAGUUUACAAAGA
ensembl:lncRNA PDCD4-AS1 PDCD4 antisense RNA 1